UUAUCAUUGCGGUUCGAUGAGAGAAUAAUAAAAUUUACAAUAUACAAAGAAAGGGCUAAUGAGCCGCACAGGUUGUUAGAACUAAAAACAUAUGAGUCCCACAUUACGAGGCUACGCGAAGAAAGCGGAGGAAGUUCGCACAGCUGAUGGAUAGACCAGGCAUCAUCGGUCGAGCAGCCGACGAUUGGCGACGGCGACGGCGACAGCAGUGGAGCCUCAGCAACCCUUAGACAGACCACCACCACCACCACCACCACCACGUGACAGGAUGCGGAUGCGUAACGCAGGCAAAGCCGAAGGGGAAGGAGCAACGAGGCGACGAGGUUUUCGAGGCCCCUCAGUCGUCUAGCAACCGCUGAGCAAGAAGGUCCAGUUGCGCGUGCUAUUCCGGUCGAUUCGAAUCGGCUUCGUCGACGUCGCAUCGUGUUGCGCGUGCUCUACGAGAGGAAGAAGGGUCCCCGAUCCCGCGAGUGUCUCCGAUUGUUUUGUCCUGUUGCCAGCUGCUCCCGGUAUCUGCCUGCUCCUGGCGCGCCGCGGAGGAUCGAUUCCUGAAGCGGCCUAGGGAGACUCUAAAAUGUUUGCCAACGUGGAGAGAAAGAGUUGACGAGGGCCUAUUCGUCGAAGGGGGACGCCUACUUGACCAGCGCUAAUCAGUAGGAAGGAAAAGAAAUACGGGCACGCGUGUUCUACCUAUAACAGUAUUAAGAAGAAAGAAGCACGAUGGAUCCUUAUUCAUUAAGGUGAAUGCAUUACUGAUAAGUUUAUUUCCGUCACAGAUAUCACCGUUUUAAAAUAUAGGAGUGCACAGUUAUGCUUCGAUAAUUAUUGUCUCAUUGAAUUAACCGCAUCGAUAUUCUUUCGAUUUAUUGAUUCUAUAAUUAAUCAUAUAAUUAAUUAUUGGAGAGCACUUAAAGAUAUGCGAGAUAAAUAGCAAGUCGAAUUAAUAAUGGAUUGAGAUUUAUUUAGAUGAUAAUUUUAAUCUUGCGCGAACAAUAAUUCUUUUAAUUUCGACGAAAAAUAUACAAGAGGUUCUUUUACUAUGAAUAGGCGGGCACUGGCGAUUGAAAAAGUAAACUCAAGAUUCAUUUCUACGAAAAUAAUCCAUCAAAGAUCUUAAUCCCGGCAGAAUUUUUCUUCGCCCUUUGAGGCAUACCUUAUUCUUUGUCCCUUCUUGCUUGUUCGUUUGUACAUAAUAUCCGACAAAGCUUUAAAGUACAUAGUCUACAAGCUUGAUGGUUUUUUUAUUAUAUUCGAUCGGACAGUUUGUGCUUACAGAUAUCUUUAGAUAAGUCAACAAAAAAGAUUUCUUUUAUAUUUCGGCAGAAAGGCAGAAAGGUCUUGGGAUACCUAUUGUUUUAAAUUCUUCGAAAAUUUCUCGAAAAUUCCUCUUCCUUGCUUUCACCAUAAGAAUGCAGGAAACAUAAUAUUACUUUAGAGUACAGUUUAUAUUCGGGUACAAUUGAUUGCAAAAUUGCCGCAGUUAUAAGGCAAUUUCCGUCCGAUAAUAAUUUUCAGAAUACGGUUUUAAGUCGGGAAAAACAUAUGAUAGUUGUCUUUAAAAUGUAAGUGUAUUUUAAUUGUUGCUAAUUUAAGAACUUAAAAAUAUCGGUGACAUACAUUUGAAAGCAAAUUGCUAAAUUAUCGCAUUAUCGCUCAUAACGCUGUAAACCGUCGAAUGUUAUUUCAAGUUUUGACUAAUCUUAUUUUAAUUUUUACAAAUCUUAUUUUAAACUAUCACAAUUUUAAUAACCAAAAUUACUAAACAUGAAUUAACAUAAAAAUAAUUUAUUGUAGCAUUAUAGAGUUACUAAUCCUAAAUUCUUAGACAAAAAUUAAAUAUGAUUUCAAAAAUGGAAAUAGAAAUAGAAAGUUUGGUCACGCGUUAAUGUUUCGGCAGAGAGUUUUUGAAUUAUUGGCAACAAAUUUUUGAGAUCGCAGUCAAAAGAUGAAUUCGCAUUCGAUUGCGUGAUUGCUCAUCAAUUAAUCUUUGAUCCCAAGUGACGUUAUGUAUGACGUUAGGUUCUCUUGAUAAGUGGUCUCUGAAUAUCGUAAAGACAUCGGUGGGACUAAAUUCAAAUUUGUGGAUGUUUCUUUCACAUAUUCGUGCUGUCAUAAUCUCAUUUUCGUUAAAGAUUUCUGGUGAAAAUUUUUCUUAGAAUUUUUAAUAUAAUUUAAAAAAUUUUUCAAACUUUCUGGAUAAAUUGUAUAACAUUUUUAAAAAAUUUAUACAAAAAUUCUAAAAAAUUAAAUGAAAAAUUCAGAGAAAAAUUUUUACUAGGAAUCUUUAAUGAAGAAUUAAUAAGGAAAAAAAAACGAUUUUUCUUAAUUGGUUAUAACGUUUAUUCGUCGUGAAAUAAAACGGAUUGCUGGGAAUAAGUCAAAAUCUUUUCGUUGGCUUGUUUGGCACGAGGAAUGUAUCACGUGUAUAUGACGCGAAAACGAUGAUGUAACUCGUGCGUGAUGGUUGCACAAAAAAAACGAUCCCGAAUCAUGAAAUCCCGAGAAUGAAAGGAAGUUACGCUGUAAAAUAUUCUCGCAAGGUUGUUGCAUUUUUUUCCGAGGAAACUAAAAAUAUGAGACGCAGUCGUCUUGUAAAUUUGAUUAUCGAACUACCGUAAACUGUUUAAUCAACGGGAUAAUAAGCAGAGAUCGCAUUACUCGCGAUAAAUGUAAUGUACUGUGACAAAACGGCGCGAUACCUCGCGUCUUUAUCAUGAAAUUAUUACACUUGACAUAAUCCUGUUGAUAUCGGGAAUAUCGUAACUUAAUCGUGUUUUCAUAGAUAUUGGAUCCAUUAAUGGUAAUCGUUAUCGAUAAUAGUUUAAUAUUAUCGAAUUUAUUAUUUACGCGCGUGUUCCGCGUAGAGAUGUACGAAUCGGGAUCUUUUUCACGCUGAAUCAAAUCGAUAAAAUUUUAAUGCAAUCGAGUCAAAUCGUUUAUAAUACUUUUACUUAUUAUUAGGUUGAAUUUUAAUAUACAAAUAAUACCAAAAAGAGAUUUCUAUGUUGAGAAAAUAAUAUUUGGAUCACAUGAUAAAUAUGAUUUUAUUAAAUUAUCAAAAUGUGUGAUUCGCAUUCGAAAUUUUCAAACAGCUCACGCAUCUCCAAUUCCUCGUCGCGAGUUGUUCAAUUUCGUCUCUGCCUUUGCAUAUCUUAGACUAAUCAUGAUUUCCGCGUCGUUUUAACGUCGAACAAAAUAUAUCGACCGUAAAGCAGUAAGCAAAGAUAUAUCAACGAUUGUCCGCGUGUCGCGCUGGUAUUAUAUUACUGGCUUUUGUUGAAUCAGGGCCAAGGUUAAUAUUGCGACUGAUUACGCCAGUUUGAAUAACGCCACUCUACUUUUAGAAAUGCAGCCGUCCGGAUGAUCCCGCGGAGGACCUUCCUUUCGAUCAACAGUAGCGAUUCGCGAUUCGCCGUGAGAUAACAAACGCGCGCCGGUGUAUCAAAGGCUACAGAGCAUAACACGUAAGACGAGGAGAGAGGUGCAAGGUGCCGAUAUGUCUGGCGAGUCGAACGAGAAAGGAAUGCUGUAAUAAGUCUCGCGAGUGGCUAUACAUCCCUCAACAGUACGCAAAGUACGUAGGUCAGCCUGUAGCAAUUAGGGCCCGGACUCGGACGACGAUGUGUACAGCGAGGUGAAAGACUCGUCCAGCGAAAUGUCAAAUGCCACUUGCCGCAAGCGCAUUCGCACUCGCUGCUAAUGACGAUGUUACGCGUCGCGGGAGCGGGAUAAAAAAUUUAGACGUUCGAGAGACGUAUAAGCUCGGCGAAUAAAAGAAUAAAAUGCACAUGUCUCCCUCGUGUCGGCAGCCGUGUCGUACACGGAGUCGGCGUGUCUUCAUAAAUAGAAUCGAUGUUUCAAGAGAACCUGCAAUUUACUUAAAGCCCACCACGUGCCUCGUGGAUUUUGCGAUAAAACCGCGGUAUUAUCGCCGCAUAUAUUGUCUUUAUGUUAGCUUAGAAUAACAAAGCAUACGCGACACACAAUGAAUACGGAAUGGAGUACACGACUCGUAAAUAACAAGUCCGGCCUGGCUGUCUCCUCUUUCGGGUUAUGCAAAGUAUCAGAAAAACCAGGAAAUCGUAUGAUAACGAGUUGCACUCGGUCUCGGAGCCUCCAACGAGCACUGUUUGUGGUCUCUCAAGUUUUUAAACUUCCGUCAAACUUAUCUCGCGAAUGUAAGUCUUGAUUUCAGAUUUUUCUUCCACCCUUCGAUAGCCGUGCGAUCGCGCGAGCCAUUUCCAGCUUUAAAUUCAGUUUGUCAAUUAAAUGUCGAAUCUUUCGAUCCCGAUUUAACUUGCUCUCUAUUUUUGUUUCUAAUUCUUAGAACUAGAAAAAGAUAAAGAGCAACCGAGAUCACAAUUAAUUUGCAUUGGUGGAAAUUGGCAUAAAAGAGAUAAAAGUGUUACAAAUAGAUCUGUUAAACUAUAAUCUGCCUUCCAGUUAGUUACGGUAAGAAACCACAGUCAACUAUUGUGUUCAAUAAUAUGCCAAUUAACGCGCGUUAAUUCGUCAAGUACAUAAUUGUAUCAUAUAUCAAAGAUCAAGAUCGUCGCUCUAUUUUUAACUCACAACGAGAACAAUCAUUCGUUCGUCAAAGAACAUCUCCAAACGCUUUGUCACGUCAUGUUGCUAAAAUCACGGCGAUGCCCGUGUGUGGAAAAUGAUUAUACUUGAAAAAACUUACAAUGUUUAUUCAAACAAUUAAUAUAAAUUAAAAAAAAUAUGUCAUUAAAAUCUGAUGAACAAUAUUCUGUAUAUUUGUAAAACAGCUGUUGUUUUUCAACGAAUUUGCCUCUCUAUCGAAACAAAAAGUUAUGAGAGAAGUUCAACACGAAGAAAAUAUUGGCGAUUAAAAAUAAUCAUCAUUCAUUGAAAGUAAUCAGUCAAUUAUUCUUGUUUUUUGCAGCUUUAUUUUUGACUUAUUUUUCUGAAAUUAAAACGAUAUUAAUUUAUCGUAGUCAAUUAGACCACCCCGACAAAUGAGCCAUAGUGCAACACACCCGAUAAUCGAUCCGCGUGAUCUCAUUGUUAUGCGAGACAAUCGGCUAAGAACUAUUGUUUUGAGACUGCUACGUUAAGCAGCGUAGCUUGUAUUUUUCUGUAUGGCAAAUCAAUUGAACAAGACUAUUCGAAUUGAUAUACGAACAUUUCAUAUCACAUUGUAACAAAAAAGGCUCGUAUUAUAGAUACAGUUAUAAGUCGAUAAUAAAAAUUAUUCAUUUAAUACAUAUUACUUUUUAUAUAUAUUUUACGUUAAUUUCCAUUUGAUAAUUUUUUGACAAUUUUUUUUUAUUAUGAGGAGGAUGUAGGAUUAUUAAUUUUAUCGUCAUAAUUAAACAAAUUUUAUUGUAUCCGAAUAUGAUAAUAAUGAUAUAAUAUUUGUAUUCGGAAAUGCAUCUAAGAACUUGAAAUGAUUAAAAAGGGCACCCUCAUCUUAAGCUCUUCGACCUAUAUUCCGGAAAAA